AUGGAUGCCUUGUCCGCUCUCAUCUGCAAGGCAUCUAGCGAGGGCGUGCUUUCCUCCUUCAACAGAAUCAAGGCAAACCAGAGAUUGUCUAUAUACGCUGACGACAUGGCUCUCUUCAUCCGUCCCACAGCCCAGGACCUUUCUUGUGUGAGAGAAAUGCUUCAAGUGUUUGGUCACGCUUCUGGACUGCGUGUAAACUACAGUAAAACUUCGGCCAUAGUGAUACAAGGGCAACAGGAAGAUGGGCAUAGGGUUCAGCAUUACUUGAACUGCCGGAUGGAAGAUUGGCCAUGCAAAUAUCUUGGCCUUCAGCUUAGUGUCCAUCAGCUAACCCGAGCAGAUUGGCAGCCCAUGCUUGAUCAGGCCAAGAAAUUCAUUCCAUCUUGGCAAAGGGGUCUGAUCCAGAGGCCUGGCAGACUUGUGCUCGUCAAGAGUGUGCUUUCGGCACGGCCAAUACAUCACCUGCUAGUCAUGGGCGCGCCUCAGUGGGUUUUCGAUGAGAUCGACAAAUGGAUGCGUGCCUUUUUCUGGGCAGGGAAAGAUUCUGUGAACGGCGGGCAAUGUAUGGUGGCAUGGCAAACUAUUUGCAGACCAACCUGCUUUGGAGGACUGGGAGUCAAGAACCUACAGUUGCAAGGACUAGCCAUGAGAGUGCGAUGGGAGUGGUUGAGGAGGACUGAUUUCACUCGCCCUUGGCAAGGCCUGCAACUCAUGGUGGACCGGGAGGCGAGGGCAGUCUUCGAAAGCAUGGUGCUAAUUAAGGUAGGAGAAGGUAGCAGGGUCUUGUUCUGGACAGAUAGAUGGCUACACGGGUGCACCGUCGGUGACAUAGCCCCCUUGAUUGCUAGCAUGGUGGAUGCCAGAACAAAAAGAAAGAGAACAGUGCAGCAGGCUCUAACGGAGGACGAUUGGCUACAUGACAUAAGAGACGAGCUAUCAUUCACGGCACACAUGCAGUUAAUCCACCUGCAACAGGCAAUUGCAACGGUUGGCAGGGAUGUCUCGGAGGAGGAUCAGUUCUCUUGGCCUUGCGACACCUCAGGUGUCUACACCACGAAAUCCACUUACAGUCGUCUUUGCCAGGGGUUAACGCGUCAUGUCGCAGCCCAGAGGAUCUGGCGUAGCUGGGCACCCCUCAAGUGCAAAAUCUUUGCCUGGCUAGCUUCCCAAAACAGGCCGUGGACAUCUGAUCGGAGAGCGAGGCACGGUUUGCAGGACGCUCCUUCCGCGUGUUACACGUGCUGUCAAGAGGAGGACAAUGCGGACCACAUCUUGGCACAAUGUGUCUUUGCGAGGCAAGUGUGGCACGGAUGCUUCGAUUACCUACAAGUCAACUUACACAUCCCCAGCCAUGAUGUCUCCUUCAUGGAUUGGUGGGGAAGGACUCGGGCUACAUUACAGGGAAUGGAUAAGUGA
rnacentral:rRNA from 1 species